rnacentral:tRNA from 1 species
GGGCGAGUGGCGGAACUGGUAGACGCGCAGCCUUGAGGGGGCUGUGGGCUUCGGCUCGUGGAGGUUCGAGUCCUCUCUCGCCCACCA